GCGCUUUAUUCAUUCGACA
rnacentral:snRNA from 1 species